rnacentral:rRNA from 1 species
GGCUUUUUGAUAAUAAUUUAAGGUCUAGCCUGCCCAAUGAUGAAGUAUUAAAUGGCCGCGGUAUCUUGACCGUGCAAAGGUAGCAUAAUCAUUAGUUUUUUAAUUGGAAGCUUGUAUGAAAGGUUUAAUGAAAAAAUAGCUGUCUCUAUUUUAAUUUUUUAGAAAUUUAUUUUUAAGUUAAAAAGCUUAAAUGAGUAUUAAAGACGAGAAGACCCUAUAGAGUUUUAUAAUUUUAUGAAAUUAUUAUAUUUUGGGAUUUUUUAAUAAUUUUUUGAGAUUAUUUGGUUGGGGUGAUUGAAAAAUUGAUAAAACUUUUUUGUUAGGAUUUCAUUGAUUUGUGAGUUUUUGAUCUUUAUUAAAGGUUAAUAAAUAAAAUUACCUUAGGGAUAACAGCGUAAUUUUUUUUAGAGUUCUUAUCGAAAAAAAAGAUUGCGACCUCGAUGUUGGAUUAAAAUUAAUUAUUGGUGUAGAAGCUAAUAGGUUAGGUCUGUUCGACCUUUAAAUUUUUACAUGAUCUGAGUUUAAACCGGUGUGA